UACCCAAAAAGUAUAGUUGAGGCAAAAGAAAUUUAUCAGAGCAGGGCUUAACUAGUUAACAAUUAGUAGCUAUAAUUUAUGUGAUAUACCACUCGUCAAAGACAUCAUGUUUCAAAAUGAGUAUAAUUCAUGAAGUAUAAUAUCAUGUUAGUGGUCUCUAUAAAGAUCAACCUACAGAUUACAUUUCCUAUAGCAUGAUGACCUUAGAAAUGCCAAACUUUGCAGUUGUACCAUUAAAAGUUUCCAUUUCCAAUCAGAUAGUUACUCAUGAGGUAGUAGUACAAGGCCUACUUUCCUUUCCAGCUUUUUUCCCUUGAAAAUCUCAUCUUUUCAUUAGAAC
rnacentral:lncRNA from 1 species